UACGAAGGGGGCUAGCGUUGCUCGGAAUUACUGGGCGUAAAGGGCGCGUAGGCGGUUCGUUAAGUUGGGGGGGAAAGCCCAGGGCUCAACCCUGGAAUUGCCUUCAAUACUGGCGACCUUGAGUAUGGCAGAGGUGUGUGGAACCCCGAGUGUAGAGGUGAAAUUCGUAGAUAUCGGGAGGAACACCAGCGGCGAAGGCGACCAUCUGGACGGAUACUGACGCUGAGACGCGAAAGCGUGGGGAGCAAACAGG
rnacentral:rRNA from 1 species